rnacentral:rRNA from 1 species
UGAACGCUGGCGGCAGGCCUACCACAUGCACGUCGACCGGUAACAGGAAGAAGCUUGCUUCUUUGCUGACGAGUGGCGGACGGGUGAGUAAUGUCUGGGAAACUGCCUGAUGGAGGGGGAUAACUACUGGAAACGGUAGCUAAUACCGCAUAACGUCGCAAGACCAAAAAGGGGGACCUUCGGGCCUCUUGCCAUCGGAUGUGCCCAGAUGGGAUUAGCUAGUAGGUGGGGUAACGGCUCACCUAGGCGACGAUCCCUAGCUGGUCUGAGAGGAUGACCAGCCACACUGGAACUGAGACACGGUCCAGACUCCUACGGGAGGCAGCAGUGGGGAAUAUUGCACAAUGGGCGCAAGCCUGAUGCAGCCAUGCCGCGUGUAUGAAGAAGGCCUUCGGGUUGUAAAGUACUUUCAGCGGGGAGGAAGGGAGUAAAGUUAAUACCUUUGCUCAUUGACGUUACCCGCAGAAGAAGCACCGGCUAACUCCGUG